UGGGGGAUAUUGCACAAUGGGCGAAAGCCUGAUGCAGCGACGCCGCGUGGGGGAUGAAGGCCUUCGGGUUGUAAACUUCUUUUGCUCUGAACAAGGCAUGCUAAUGGGGGUGUUGAGUGUUGGGGUUGAUUAGCGCCGGCUAACUACGUGCCAGCAGCCGCGGUAAUACGUAGGGCGCGAGCGUUGUCCGGAAUUAUGGGGCGUAAAGGGCUUGUAGGUGGCUGGUUGCGUCUGUCGUGAAAGCUCAUGGCUUAACUGUGGGUUUGCGGUGGGUACGGGCUGACUUGAGUGCAGUAGGGGAGGCUGGAAUUCAUGGUGUAGCGGUGGAAUGCGCAGAUAUCAGGAGGAAUACCGGUGGCGAAGGCGGGUCUCUGGGCUGUUACUGACACUGAGGAGCGAAAGCAUGGGGAGCGAACAGG
rnacentral:rRNA from 1 species